rnacentral:rRNA from 1 species
GUGAGGAAUAUUGGUCAAUGGGCGAGAGCCUGAACCAGCCAAGUCGCGUGAAGGAUGAAGGUUUUAUGAAUUGUAAACUUCUUUUGCAGGGGAAUAAAGUACGGUACGUGUACCGUUUUGUAUGUACUCUGCGAAUAAGGAUCGGCUAACUCCGUGCCAGCAGCCGCGGUAAUACGGAGGAUCCAAGCGUUAUCCGGAUUUAUUGGGUUUAAAGGGUGCGCAGGCGGGUUGAUAAGUCAGCGGUGAAGGUUUGCAGCUUAACUGUAAAAUUGCCGUUGAAACUGUCGAUCUUGAGUGCAAAUGAGGUAAGCGGAAUGUGUUGUGUAGCGGUGAAAUGCUUAGAUAUAACACAGAACACCGAUUGCGAAGGCAGCUUACUGGGAUGCAACUGACGCUCAUGCACGAAAGCGUGGGGAUCAAACAGGAUUAGAUACCCCGGUAGUCC